UACGUAGGGUGCGAGCGUUGUCCGGAAUUAUUGGGCGUAAAGGGCUCGUAGGCGGUUUGUCGCGUCGGGAGUGAAAACUCAGGGCUUAACCCUGAGCCUGCUUCCGAUACGGGCAGACUAGAGGUAUGCAGGGGAGAAUGGAAUUCCUGGUGUAGCGGUGAAAUGCGCAGAUAUCAGGAGGAACACCGACGGCGAAGGCAGCACUCUGGGCCGGUACUGACGCUGAGGAGCGAAAGCAUGGGGAGCGAACAGG
rnacentral:rRNA from 1 species